UACGUAGGGUGCAAGCGUUAAUCGGAAUUACUGGGCGUAAAGCGUGCGCAGGCGGCUUUGCAAGACAGAUGUGAAAUCCCCAGGCUUAACCUGGGAACUGCAUCCGAUACUGGAUGGCUUGAAUCCGGGAGAGGGAUGCAGAAUUCCAGGUGUAGCGGUGAAAUGCGUAGAUAUCUGGAGGAAUACCGGUGGCGAAGGCGGCAUCCUGGACCGGCAUUGACGCUGAUGAGCGAAAGCUAGGGGAGCAAACGGG
rnacentral:rRNA from 1 species